UUCUAAUCUCCCCAUCUGACCAUUCGCUUUCCCCUUUCUCUCGUUCUCCGUCAGGAGCGUGGUCUCCGCCAGGGGUGCCACAGCUCUCAGACAGAUGCGCAGGGUUUCAUGCAGUAAAAAAUCUAUUAUUUUACUGGGAAGGUAGAUAGGUAGAGUGAUUAGUAGGAGGUCACGGCAAGGGCGCGGCCGCGACGGCGGCGCUCAUUGGGAGGCACCCCUGAUUACUUGAGUGUUGGAACUCCCAGCACUCGAUUUUUCCUUUUUCGUUGAAUAGUGUGUUUUGUAUGCUAGCAUCACCCAAGUGUUGAGGUCUCCAGAAUUACUCGAGUUUUGUAUAGACAAAUCCAAGGUCCUCUCAUCUGUCUGAAGCAUGGAGUCAAGCUUUUCCCUUUGUUUCACUUCUUCUUGGAGGGCGACGCACACAGUUUUGAAGCUUAGGAGAGAUGUUCUGAUCACUCGUGACAGUAUUUGCUACCUGCGUAUCAAAGAUGGCCCUCAGGAUUGUCUGGUUCUACCUUAGUCUGCUACUGAAGAAAACAACAGGAGGUGGAUGACCACAACUCGUGCUUUGGAGGGGUAUUGUGGCCACAAUAGUAUGCCGUUUUUCAGGAUUGCUGUUGACCUAGGAUGCAGGUUUGGAUUCAUCCUUUGUCCAGAUAACAGACUGCAGAUAUAUGAUGAACUCUAAUAUAUGAUGAACUCUGAACCAUAUUAGUAUGGAGUUAUCUAGAUGCAGCUUCCGGCUUUCUUUUAUUUUGUGUAAUAUGCAAUCAGCACAUGCUACAUCCAUAUGUCUGGAAUGCUGAAUAUAUGUGAAUAACUUGCAAUAUUGUAAUAUUAAUGGUGGUU